UACGUAGGGUGCGAGCGUUGUCCGGAAUUAUUGGGCGUAAAGAGCUUGUAGGCGGUUUGUCGCGUCUGCUGUGAAAAUCCGGGGCUCAACCCCGGACGUGCAGUGGGUACGGGCAGACUAGAGUGUGGUAGGGGAGACUGGAAUUCCUGGUGUAGCGGUGAAAUGCGCAGAUAUCAGGAGGAACACCGGUGGCGAAGGCGGUUCUCUGGGCAUGAUCUGACGCUGAGGAGCAAAAGUGUGGGGAGCGAACAGG
rnacentral:rRNA from 1 species